rnacentral:rRNA from 1 species
CGUGAGCAACCUACCCGAAACCUGUCGGGGGGAGUAGCCGGCCUAACGGCCGAGUAAUACCGCAUACGCUCUCAGAGAGGCAUUUCAUUGAGAGGAAACCUACGGGACAGAUCGAGGGGCUCGCGGCCUAUCAGCUAGUUGGCGAGGUAACGGCUCACCAAGGCAACGACGGGUAGCUGGUCUGAGAGGAUGGCCAGCCACAUUGGGACUGAGAUACGGCCCAG